AUGCCAAGAUCUCUUGUUUUUUGUCUUUUAAUAAUGGCCAUUCUGGCUGGGGUAAGGUGGCAUCUUGUGGUUUUAAUUCGCAUUUCCCUCAUGAGUAUUUUUUCAUGUUUGUUUGUCAUUUGCAUAUAUCUUCUGUUAAGAAGUGUCUAUUCAUGUCAUUUGCCCACUUUUGGAUGGGAUUAUUUGUUUUUUCUUGGUCUUUUCAUAGUUUCAAAUUCUUCCUGGUUUAGGCUUGGGAGGACACAGGUGUCCAGGAAUUUAUCCAUUUCUUCCAGGUUUACUAGUUUAUGUGCAUAGAGUUGUUUGUAAUAUUCUCUGAUGAUGGUUUGAAUUUCUGUGGAGUCUGUGGUGAUUUCCCCUUUAUUGUUUUUUAUUGCGUCUAUUUGGUUAUUCUCUCUUUUCUUUUUUAUUAAUGUGGCUAGUGGUCUAUUUUGUUGAUCUUUUCAAAAAACCAGCUCUUGGAUUUAUUUAUUUUUUGAAGGGAUUUUUGUGUCUCUGUCUCCUUCAGUUCUGCUCUGAUCUUAGUUAUUUCUUGUCUUCUGCUAGGUUUUGAGUUUUUUUUGAUCUUGCUCCUCUCGCUCUUUCAAUUUUGAUGAUAGGGUGUCAAUUUUGGAUCUCUCCAUUCUUCUCAUGUGGGCACUUAUUGCUAUAUAUUUUCCUCUAGAGACUGCUUUAAAUGUGUCUCAGAGAUUUUAGUAUGUUGUGUCUUCGUUCUCAUUGGUUUCGAAGAACUUCUUUAUUUCUGCCUUCAUUUCAGUGUUUAUCCAGUCGACAUUCAAGAGCCAGUUGUUCAGUUUCCAUGAAGCUGUGUGGUUCUGAGUUAGUUUCUGAAUUCUGAGUUCUAACUUGAUUGCGCUGAGGUCUGAGAGACUGUUUGUUAUGAUUUCAGUUCUUUUACAUUUGCUGAGGAGUGCCUUACUUCCAAUUAUGUGGUCAGUCUUAGAGUAGGUGUGAUGUGGUGCUGAGAAGAAUGUAUAGUCUGUGGAUUUGGGGUGGAGAGUUCCGUAAAUGUCUAUCAGGUUUGUUUGUUCCAGGACUGAGUUCAACUCCUGGAUAUCCUUGUUAAUUUUCUGUCUGGUUGAUCUGUCUAAUAUUGACAGUAGAGUGUUAAAGUCUCCCACUAUUAUUGUGUGGGAGUCUAAGUCUCUGUAAGUCAUUAAGAACUUGCCUUAUAUAUCUGGGUGCUCCUAUAUUGGGUCCAUAUAUAUUUAGGAUUGUUAGCACUUCUUGUUGUAUCGAUCCUUUUACCAUUAUGUAAUGUCCUUCUUUGUCUCUUUUGAUCUUUGUUGCUUUAAAGUCUAUUUUAUCAGAGACAAAAAUUGCAAUUCCUGCUUUUUUUUGCUCUCCAUUUGCUUGGUAAAUCUUCCUCCAUCCCUUUAUUUUGAGCCUUUGUGUAUCCUUGCAUGUGAGAUGGGUUUCCUGGAUGCAGCACACCAAUGGGUUUUGGCUUUUUAUCCAAUUUGCCAGUCUGUGUCUUUUGAUUGGUGCAUUUAGUCCAUUUCCAUUUAGGGUUAAUAUUGUUAUGUGUUAAUUUGAUUCUGCCAUUUUGAUGCUAGCUGGCUGUUUUGCUCAUUAGUUGAUGCAGAUUCUUCAUUUUGUUGAUGCUCUUUAGCAUUUGGUAUGUUUUUGGAGUGGCUGGUACUGGUUGUUCCUUUCUAUGUGUAGUGCUUCUUUCAGGAGCUCUUGUAAAGCAGGCCUGGUGGUGACAAAAUCUCUGAGUACUUCCUUGUUUGUGAAGGAUUUUAUUUUUCCUUCACUUAUGAAGCUUAGUUUGGCUGGAUAUAAAAUUCUGGCUUGAAAAUUCGUUUCUUUAAGGAUGUUGAAUAUUGGCCCCCACUCUCUUCUGGCUUGUAGGGUUUCUGCCGAGAGAUCUGCUGUGAGUCUGAUGGGCUUCCCUUUGUGGGUAACCCAACCUUUCUCUCUGGCUGUCUUUAGCAUUUUCUCCUUCAUUUCAAGCCUGGUGAAUCUGACAAUUAUGUGCCUUGGGGUUGCUCUUAUUGAGGAAUAUCUUUGUGGUGUUCUCUGUAUUUCCUGGACUUGAAUAUUGGCCUGCCUUGCUAGGUUGGGGAAGUUUUCCUGGAUAAUAUCCUGAAGAGUGUUUUCCAGCUUGGAUUCAUUCUUUUUGUCACAUUCAGGUACACCUAUCAAACGUAGAUUAGUUCUCUUCACAUAGUCCCACAUUUCUUGGAGACUUUGUUCAUUCCUUUUUGCACUUUUUUCUCUAAUCUUGCCUUCUCAUUUUAUUUCAUUGAGUUGAUCUUCAACCUCUGAUAUCCUUUCUUCUGCUUGGUCAAUUUGGCUGUUGAAAUUUGCGCAUGCUUUGCGAAGUUCUCGUGUUGUGUUUUUCAGCUCCAUCAAUUCACUCAUAUUCCUCUCUAACUUGUCCAUUCUUGUUAUCAUUUCCUCAAAUCUUUUUUCAAGGUUCUUAGUUUCUUUGCAUUGAGUUAGAACAUGUUCUUUUAGCUCACGGAAGUUUCUCAUUACCCACCUUCUGAAAUCUGAUUCCGUCAUUUCAUCACACUCAUUCUCCAUCCAGCUUUGUUCCGUUGCUGGUGAGGAGUUGUGAUCCCUUGUAGGAGGCGAAGUAUUCUGGUUUCAGGUGUUUUCCUCCUUUUUGCACUGGUUUCUUCCCAUCUUUGUGGAUUUAUUCACCUGUCGUCUGUGUAGUUGCUGAUUUUCAGAUUGAGUCUCUGAAUGGACGUCCAGAUUGUUGAUGAUGAAGUUAUUUCUGUUUCUUAGUUUUCCUUCUAACAGUCUGGCCCCUCUGCUGUAGGACUGCUGAGGUUCACUCCAGGCCCUGCUUGCCUGGGGGUCACCUGCAGCAGCUGCAGAACAGUAAGGGUUGCUACCAGUUUCUUCUUCUGCUAUCUUUGUCUCAGAAUGAUGCCCACCUAAUAUCAGUCUGAUCAGUCCUUUGUGAGGUGACUCUUUGGAUAUACAGGUGUCACGGAGCUGUUUGAGGAGACAGUCUGUUCUUUAUAGGAGCUCAAGUGCUGAGCUGUGAGCUCCAUUGUUCA
ensembl:lncRNA